AUUGAACGCUGGCGGCAUGCUUUACACAUGUAAGUCGAACGGUAACAGGUUAAGCUGACGAGUGGCGAACGGGUGAGUAAUGCAUCGGAACGUGCCCGAUCGUGGGGGAUAACGCAGCGAAAGCUGCGCUAAUACCGCAUACGAUCUGAGGAUGAAAGCGGGGGACCGUAAGGCCUCGCGCGAUCGGAACGGCCGAUGUCAGAUGAGGUAGUUGGUGGGGUAAAGGCCCACCAACCCAACGAUCUGUACCUGGUCUGAGAGGACGACCAGCCACACUAGGAGUGAGACAAGGCCAAGACUCCUACGGGAGGCAGCGGAUGGGGAUUUUGGACAAGAGGCGAAAGCCUGUUUCAGCAAUGCCGCGUGCAGGAGGAAGGCCUUCGGGUGGUAAACUGCUUUUGUACGGGGCGAAAAGGUCUCCUCUAAUACAGGGGGCUCAUGACGGUACCGUAAGAAUAAGCACCGGCUAACUACGUGCCAGCCGCCGCGGUAA
rnacentral:rRNA from 1 species